rnacentral:rRNA from 1 species
ACGGUGAGGGAUGAAAGCUGGGGGAGCAAACCGGAUUAGAUACCCGGGUAGUCCCAGCUGUAAACUAUGCAAACUCAGUGAUGCAUUGGCUCGUGGCCAAUGCAGUGCUGCAGGGAAGCCGUUAAGUUUGCCGCCUGGGAAGUACGUACGCAAGUAUGAAACUUAAAGGAAUUGGCGGGGGAGCACCACAAGGGGUGAAGCCUGCGGUUCAAUUGGAGUCAACGCCG